rnacentral:rRNA from 1 species
UACGUAGGGUGCAAGCGUUAAUCGGAAUUACUGGGCGUAAAGCGUGCGCAGGCGGUUAUGUAAGACAGAUGUGAAAUCCCCGGGCUCAACCUGGGAACUGCAUUUGUGACUGCAUAGCUAGAGUACGGUAGAGGGGAUGGAAUUCCGCGUGUAGCAGUGAAAUGCGUAGAUAUGCGGAGGAACACCGAUGGCGAAGGCAAUCCCCUGGACCUGUACUGACGCUCAUGCACGAAAGCGUGGGGAGC